CAUUACUGAAGGCUUACAGGGUUUGAGACUGUGUCAUUAAUGGCAUGUGCUCGACUCUUACUUUAUCCAUAACACCUUUUGUGCACCAUGGGACGAUAUAAAGUCCCCUUUUUCUAUACAAACACCAAGUUAUAUGCAUGUUAUUAUAUGCUCUAAGGAGUACUAUACAACUUUCAACAACGGAUCUCUUGGCUUUCGCAUCGAUGAAGAACGCAGCGAAUGUGCGAGACGUAAUGUGAAUUGCAGAAUUCAGUGAAUCAUCGAAUCUUUGAACGCAUCUUGCGCUCCUUGGCAUUCCGAGGAGCAUGCCUGUUUGAGUGUCGUGAAAUACUCUCAAUUUCAAUCUUUUUGUUUGAAAUUGGAUUUGAAUGUUGUUGNGAAUGAUUCAUGACUCGUUCUAAAUGCAUUAGCGAUCUGCCUUUGAUCACACACAAUGUGAUAAGUAAAAGCAUUGUUAGAUUGAAUGGGAGAYGGCUUCUAACUGUCGUAAUGGACAAUAACAAUAUUUUGACCUCAAAUCAGGUAGGACUACCCGCUGAACUUAAGCAUAUCAAUA
rnacentral:rRNA from 1 species